rnacentral:lncRNA from 1 species
AUAGCUUUAUUGUCGGGUAUAAAUACCCUCAGGACUCGAUAGCGUAAAAGUAAUGCAUAAUCAUUCAUUCAUCAUCACAAUCAUUCAUGUAUCAUCAUAAUCAUUCAUGCAUCAUCAUAAUCAUUUAAAGCAUCUUCCUAAUCAUUAACACAACUCUUCAAGUAAUUAGGAAUCACAAACGUCUAUUCAUCAUCAUAGUCGCCAA